rnacentral:rRNA from 1 species
UACGUAGGGGGCAAGCGUUGUCCGGAUUUAUUGGGCGUAAAGAGCGUGUAGGCGGCCAUACAGGUCCGUUGUGAAAACUCGAGGCUUAACCUCGAGACGUCGAUGGAAACCGUAUGGCUAGAGUCCGGAAGAGGAGAGUGGAAUUCCUGGUGUAGCGGUGAAAUGCGCAGAUAUCAGGAAGAACACCCGUGGCGAAGGCGGCUCUCUGGGACGGUACUGACGCUGAGGUGCGAAAGCGUGGGGAGCAAACAGG